rnacentral:rRNA from 1 species
UACCAGCACCCCGAGUGGUCGGGACGAUUAUUGGGCCUAAAGCAUCCGUAGCCGGCCUUACAAGUCCUCCGUUAAAUCCAGCUGCUUAACAGAUGGGCUGCGGAGGAUACUAUAAGACUAGGAGGCGGGAGAGGCAAGCGGUACUCAGUGGGUAGGGGUAAAAUCCGUUGAUCCAUUGAAGACCACCAGUGGCGAAGGCGGCUUGCCAGAAUGCGCUCGACGGUGAGGGAUGAAAGCUGGGGGAGCAAACCGG